UGCUUGUCUCAAAGAUUAAGCCAUGCAUGUCUAAGCAUAAACCGAAUAUGGUAAAGCCGCGAAUGGCUCAUUACAACAGCCAUAGUUUAUUGGAUCUUAGAGUCCUACUCGGAUACCUGUGGUAAUUCUAGAGCUAAUACACGCAAUCAAGCCUCAACCUUACGGGCGGGGCGCAUUUAUUAGAACAAAACCAAUUGGCUUCGGCCAUAGAUUGGUGAAUCUGAAUAACUACGCUGAUCGCACGGGCUUGUCCCGGCGACGUAUCCUUCAAGUGUCUGCCUUAUCAACUUUCGAUGGUAGUUUAUAUGACUACCAUGGUUGUAACGGGUAACGGAGAAUAAGGGUUCGACUCCGGAGAGGGAGCCUGAGAAACGGCUACCACAUCCRAGGAAGGCAGCAGGCA
rnacentral:rRNA from 1 species